rnacentral:rRNA from 1 species
ACCCGCGACCCCAGGUCAAGGUGGGGUUCCACGCUGGU